GAUGAACGCUGGCGGCGUGCUUAACACAUGCAAGUCGAACGAAGCACCUUGAUUUGAUUCUUCGGAUGAAGAUCUUGGUGACUGAGUGGCGGACGGGUGAGUAACGCGUGGGUAACCUGCCUCAUACAGGGGGAUAACAGUUAGAACUGAAUGCUAAUACCGCAUAAGACCACAGUACCGCAUGGUACAGGGGUAAAAACUCCGGUGGUAUGAGAUGGACCCGCGUCUGAUUAGGUAGGUGGUGGGGUAACGGCCUACCAAGCCGACGACUAGUGGCCGACCUGAGAGGGUGACCGGCCAAAUUGGGACGGAGUCGCGGCCCAAACUCCGACGGGAGGCAGCAGUGGGGAAUAUUGCACAAUAGGGGAAACCAUGAUGCAGCGGCGCCGCGUGAGCGAUGAAGUAUUUCGGUAUGUAAAGCUCUAUCAGCAGGGAAGAAAAUGACGGUACCUGACUAAGAAGCACCGGCUAAAUACGUGCCAGCCGCCGCAGUAA
rnacentral:rRNA from 1 species